CAAUAGCGUAUAUUAAAGUUGUUGCGGUUAAAAAGCUCGUAGUUGGAUUUCUGCUGAGGAUGACCGGUCCGCCCUCCGGGUGAGUAUCUGGCUCAGCCUUGGCAUCUUCCUGAAGAACGUAACUGCACUUGACUGUGUGGUGCGGUAUUUAGGACAUUUACUUUGAGGAAAUUAGAGUGUUUCAAGCAAGCGCACGCCUUGAAUACAUUAGCAUGGAAUAAUAAGAUAGGACCUCGGUUCUAUUUUGUUGGUUUCUAGAGCUGAGGUAAUGAUUGAUAGGGAUAGUUGGGGGCAUUCGUAUUUAACUGUCAGAGGUGAGAUUCUUGGAUUUGUUAAAGACGGACUACUGCGAAAGCAUUUGCCAAGGAUGUUUUCAUUGA
rnacentral:rRNA from 1 species